UUUCCGUAGGUGAACCUGCGGAAGGAUCAUUAAAAAUGAAGCCGGGAAACCGGUCCUUCUAACCCUUGAUUAUCUUAAUUUGUUGCUUUGGUGGGCCGCGCAAGCACCGGCUUCGGCUGGAUCGUGCCCGCCAGAGGACACAACCCUGUAUCAAAUGUCGUCUGAGUACUAUAAAAUAGUUAAAACUUUCAACAACGGAUCUCUUGGUUCUG
rnacentral:misc_RNA from 1 species